UACGAAGGGGGCUAGCGUUGCUCGGAAUGACUGGGCGUAAAGGGCGCGUAGGCGGCUUGUAUAGUCGGAUGUGAAAUUCCUGGGCUUAACCUGGGGGCUGCAUACGAGACGUAUGGGCUUGAGUGCGGAAGAGGGUCGUGGAACUCCCAGUGUAGAGGUGAAAUUCGUAGAUAUUCGCAAGAACACCAGUGGCGAAGGCGGCUCACUGGCCCGAUACUGACGCUGAGGCACGAAAGCGUGGGGAGCAAACAGG
rnacentral:rRNA from 1 species